GGGGCCGACCUGGUUUCGACGUGGGCAACAAAGCAGAACCGUGCAUACCGAGGCGUGGCUACCUCGUAAAUACACCCACAAAUCAAUAGUCGCAAACGACGAAAACUACGCUCUGGCCGCUUAAUAACCGGCUGGACUCUGCACUGAUGGGCCUCAACGUCAGGUGUAGCAAUACACAGCAGAGUCAUUAACGAGGAUCGCCUUGCAUCGGGCCACUUGAUGCCGGGUUAAACCAAGGUGGCCCGCCCGUCCAGAGCCUGCCCACCGGCGCCGGAAGGGUCAGAAUCAAAAGAGGGGAUCUAAGUAUGUAGAGCGGCCUGCGGAGGGCUUGCGGACGGCGGUUCGAUUCCGCCCGGCUCCACCA
rnacentral:tmRNA from 1 species